rnacentral:lncRNA from 1 species
CAUGCUCGCAAAGAAAAAGAAGAGGACGUUUUUUGGAUUAAUUUAUACAAGGUGAGAUUUGAUGUUUCAUUUUGUAGGGUAUUGAAAUUUGUUUUCCAGAUUUUUAGUAAUAUUAUCGUAAAUAUAAAUACGGUAUUUGUAAAAAUUAAUCACGAGAAUUGAACGGGUAAUCAUAGAAUAAGGCCUAGGUGUAAUAUUAAUAUUAAUGAUCGCGGGAACUGGGAACGAGAAUGCACGCGCCCGUAAGCAAUCGGGUUUGCGAUCAUUCUCGAGCAUGCGUACUAACUUUUGGCGCCAUUAUCGAACGUUGGCCGUUGGGAUUUGCUUCGACGAGGGAUACGGAUAAAAUACAAGCGUAAAACCUCGUUCGUUGCAGUAUAUUUUGAACAAAUAAACAAUUUAUUAGGAAAAUACGUUCAAGAAACGUCUCGUGCUGUACUAGCCUAAUUCUGGCAAAUGUUAUUUACUUUCUUCACCUUCGUGUCGACGACUGUUGUUUGCUGAUGGCCAAAUCACGACAGCGGACAUCAAUUAUUCAAAAUAUGUUCUUAUAGCUUCACGUUUACGAUACGAAUGUAAGAUUAUUUAUUUUUUGUAUAUGUAGGUUCUAGUUGAAAGUAACAGCGACGAUGAAAAAAGUGCGCACAACAUUGAAAUAUCCAGUUCACUACUAGCUCAAAUCCUGCGACAUAUCACUUGCUAGUAGCCCAGUCUAGUUUAACUUUGCCCAAUCAAGAAUCAUCUCCUGAAUCAGGCAUACUGGCAACACUGGUUCAUUUGAUAAUGUAAGUUUUUAAACUGGUAUUUUAGAUUUAUAUAGCCUCGGUCAAAUGAGGAUGAAAGUCAUGCAUGAAUUGCUUAUCAAUACACAAAGGGCCAUUCCAUUUAAUAUCCACACCCCCCCUACGGAUGAGGUCAGUAAAAUUUUAACCCCUAAGAAAAAAAGAUCAAAGUGCCGACACAAAACACCCCUCAGAAAUUUGUAAAUUUUCCCCUUACCCCUCAGAAAAAUCGCAG